AGCAGCCGCGGUAAUUCCAGCUCCAAUAGCGUAUAUUAAAGUUGUUGCAGUUAAAAAGCUCGUAGUUGAACUUCGGGGUUCACCCAUUGGUCAGGCUUAAUUGUCUGCACUGGUGAGAUGAGUCUCUACCUUCUGAGGAACCUUCAUGUCAUUAAUUUGGUGUGAUGGGAAAUCAGGACUGUUACUUUGAAAAAUUAGAGUGUUUAAAGCAGGCUAACGUCUGAAUACAUUAGCAUGGAAUAAUGAAAUAGGACGGACUGAUUCUAUUUCGUUGGUUUCUAGGAUCACCGUAAUGAUUAAUAGGGAUAGUUGGGGGCAUUAGUAUUCAAUUGUCAGAGGUGAAAUUCUUGGAUUUAUUGAAGACUAACUACUGCGAAAGCAUUUGCCAAGGAUGUUUUCAUUAAUCAAGAACGAAAGUUAGGGGAUCGAAGACGAUCAGAUACCGUCGUAGUCUUAACCAUAAACUAUGCCGACUGG
rnacentral:sRNA from 1 species